UACGUAGGGUCCAAGCGUUAAUCGGAAUUACUGGGCGUAAAGCGUGCGCAGGCGGCUUUGCAAGACAGAUGUGAAAUCCCCGGGCUUAACCUGGGAACUGCAUUUGUGACUGCAUGGCUGGAGUGCGGCAGAGGGGGAUGGAAUUCCGCGUGUAGCAGUGAAAUGCGUAGAUAUGCGGAGGAACACCGAUGGCGAAGGCAAUCCCCUGGGCCUGCACUGACGCUCAUGCACGAAAGCGUGGGGAGCAAACAGG
rnacentral:rRNA from 1 species